GAUAUGGAAGCACCGUGAGGUGUGGAGUUGACUGGUACUAAUAGGCCGAGGGCUUGUCCUCAGUUG
rnacentral:rRNA from 1 species